rfam:Homo sapiens chromosome 13, GRCh38 reference primary assembly.
AAAGCGGCCUUUUUUAAGGCCAUAGUUUUACUCAUGGGUUUUGAGG